GUUUGAUCAUGGCUCAGGACGAACGCUGGCGGCGUGCCUAAUACAUGCAAGUCGAACGAACUCUGGUAUUGAUUGGUGCUUGCAUCAUGAUUUACAUUUGAGUGAGUGGCGAACUGGUGAGUAACACGUGGGAAACCUGCCCAGAAGCGGGGGAUAACACCUGGAAACAGAUGCUAAUACCGCAUAACAACUUGGACCGCAUGGUCCGAGUUGAAAGAUGGCUUCGGCUAUCACUUUUGGAUGGUCCCGCGGCGUAUUAGCUAGAUGGUGGGGUAACGGCUCACCAUGGCAAUGAUACGUAGCCGACCUGAGAGGGUAAUCGGCCACAUUGGGACUGAGACACGGCCCAAACUCCUACGGGAGGCAGCAGUAGGGAAUCUUCCACAAUGGACGAAAGUCUGAUGGAGCAACGCCGCGUGAGUGAAGAAGGGUUUCGGCUCGUAAAACUCUGUUGUUAAAGAAGAACAUAUCUGAGAGUAACUGUUCAGGUAUUGACGGUAUUUAACCAGAAAGCCACGGCUAACUACGUGCCAGCAGCCGCGGUAAUACGUAGGUGGCAAGCGUUGUCCGGAUUUAUUGGGCGUAAAGCGAGCGCAGGCGGUUUUUUAAGUCUGAUGUGAAAGCCUUCGGCUCAACCGAAGAAGUGCAUCGGAAACUGGGAAACUUGAGUGCAGAAGAGGACAGUGGAACUCCAUGUGUAGCGGUGAAAUGCGUAGAUAUAUGGAAGAACACCAGUGGCGAAGGCGGCUGUCUGGUCUGUAACUGACGCUGAGGCUCGAAAGUAUGGGUAGCAAACAGGAUUAGAUACCCUGGUAGUCCAUACCGUAAACGAUGAAUGCUAAGUGUUGGAGGGUUUCCGCCCUUCAGUGCUGCAGCUAACGCAUUAAGCAUUCCGCCUGGGGAGUACGGCCGCAAGGCUGAAACUCAAAGGAAUUGACGGGGGCCCGCACAAGCGGUGGAGCAUGUGGUUUAAUUCGAAGCUACGCGAAGAACCUUACCAGGUCUUGACAUACUAUGCAAAUCUAAGAGAUUAGACGUUCCCUUCGGGGACAUGGAUACAGGUGGUGCAUGGUUGUCGUCAGCUCGUGUCGUGAGAUGUUGGGUUAAGUCCCGCAACGAGCGCAACCCUUAUUAUCAGUUGCCAGCAUUAAGUUGGGCACUCUGGUGAGACUGCCGGUGACAAACCGGAGGAAGGUGGGGAUGACGUCAAAUCAUCAUGCCCCUUAUGACCUGGGCUACACACGUGCUACAAUGGAUGGUACAACGAGUUGCGAACUCGCGAGAGUAAGCUAAUCUCUUAAAGCCAUUCUCAGUUCGGAUUGUAGGCUGCAACUCGCCUACAUGAAGUCGGAAUCGCUAGUAAUCGCGGAUCAGCAUGCCGCGGUGAAUACGUUCCCGGGCCUUGUACACACCGCCCGUCACACCAUGAGAGUUUGUAACACCCAAAGUCGGUGGGGUAACCUUUUAGGAACCAGCCGCCUAAGGUGGGACAGAUGAUUAGGGUGAAGUCGUAACAAGGUAGCCGUAGGAGAACCUGCGGUUGGAUCAC
rnacentral:rRNA from 2 species